rnacentral:rRNA from 1 species
AUUGAACGCUGGCGGCAGGCCUAACACAUGCAAGUCGAACGGUAACAGGCAGCAGCUUGCUGCUUCGCUGACGAGUGGCGGACGGGUGAGUAAUGUCUGGGAAGCUGCCUGAUGGAGGGGGAUAACUACUGGAAACGGUAGCUAAUACCGCAUAAUGUCGCAAGACCAAAGAGGGGGACCUUCGGGCCUCUUGCCAUCGGAUGUGCCCAGAUGGGAUUAGCUUGUUGGUGGGGUAACGGCUCACCAAGGCGACGAUCCCUAGCUGGUCUGAGAGGAUGACCAGCCACACUGGAACUGAGACACGGUCCAGACUCCUACGGGAGGCAGCAGUGGGGAAUAUUGCACAAUGGGCGCAAGCCUGAUGCAGCCAUGCCGCGUGUAUGAAGAAGUCCUUCGGGUUGUAAAGUACUUUCAGCGGGGAGGAAGGGAGUAAAGUUAAUACCUUGGCUCAUUGACGUUACCCGCAGAAGAAGCACCGGCUAACUCCGUG